GGAGCUUGCUCCCGGAUGUUAGCGGCGGACGGGUGAGUAACACGUGGGUAACCUGCCUGUAAGACUGGGAUAACUCCGGGAAACCGGAGCUAAUACCGGAUAGUUCCUUGAACCGCAUGGUUCAAGGAUGAAAGACGGUUUCGGCUGUCACUUACAGAUGGACCCGCGGCGCAUUAGCUAGUUGGUGGGGUAAUGGCUCACCAAGGCGACGAUGCGUAGCCGACCUGAGAGGGUGAUCGGCCACACUGGGACUGAGACACGGCCCAGACUCCUACGGGAGGCAGCAGUAGGGAAUCUUCCGCAAUGGACGAAAGUCUGACGGAGCAACGCCGCGUGAGUGAUGAAGGUUUUCGGAUCGUAAAGCUCUGUUGUUAGGGAAGAACAAGUGCGAGAGUAACUGCUCGCACCUUGACGGUACCUAACCAGAAAGCCACGGCUAACUACGUGCCAGCAGCCGCGGUAAUACGUAGGUGGCAAGCGUUGUCCGGAAUUAUUGGGCGUAAAGGGCUCGCAGGCGGUUUCUUAAGUCUGAUGUGAAAGCCCCCGGCUCAACCGGGGAGGGUCAUUGGAAACUGGGAAACUUGAGUGCAGAAGAGGAGAGUGGAAUUCCACGUGUAGCGGUGAAAUGCGUAGAGAUGUGGAGGAACACCAGUGGCGAAGGCGACUCUCUGGUCUGUAACUGACGCUGAGGAGCGAAAGCGUGGGGGAGCGACAGGAUUAGAUACCCUGGUAGUCCACGCCGUAAACGAUGAGUG
rnacentral:rRNA from 1 species